rnacentral:rRNA from 1 species
AUUGAACGCUGGCGGCAUGCCUAACACAUGCAAGUCGAACGGCAGCACGGCAGUAGCAAUACUGUGGGUGGCGAGUGGCGGACGGGUGAGGAAUACGUCGGAAUCUGCCCAGUCGUGGGGGAUAACUAGCCGAAAGGUUAGCUAAUACCGCAUACGACCGAGAGGUGAAAGCGGGGGACCGCAAGGCCUCGCGCGAUUGGAUGAGCCGACGUCGGAUUAGCUAGUUGGUGGGGUAAAGGCCCACCAAGGCGACGAUCCGUAGCUGGUCUGAGAGGAUGAUCAGCCACACUGGAACUGAGACACGGUCCAGACUCCUACGGGAGGCAGCAGUGGGGAAUAUUGGACAAUGGGCGCAAGCCUGAUCCAGCAAUGCCGCGUGUGUGAAGAGGGCC